rnacentral:tRNA from 1 species
GGAAAUGUAACCUGAAUGCAAAGGGUCACUAUGAUAAAGUGAAUAUAGAGGGUGUACUAACCCUCUCAUUUCCCU